rnacentral:rRNA from 1 species
UAGCGGCGAGUGAAGCGGCAAAAGCUCAAAUUUGAAAUCUGGCACCUUCGGUGUCCGAGUUGUAAUUUGAAGAUUGUAACCUUGGGGUUGGCUCUUGUCUAUGUUUCUUGGAACAGGACGUCACAGAGGGUGAGAAUCCCGUGCGAUGAGAUGCCCAAUCCUAUGUAAGGUGCUUUCGAAGAGUCGAGUUGUUUGGGAAUGCAGCUCUAAGUGGGUGGUAAAUUCCAUCUAAAGCUAAAUAUUGGCGAGAGACCGAUAGCGAACAAGUACAGUGAUGGAAAGAUGA